AUUAACUGCAUUUUCAAAACCCAGCUUAAUGCCUUUGGUUAAUCCUUAUUAGAUUGACCCUCUCAAGCACUUAGGUUUUGUUGUUGUUGUUGUUUUGUGAGGUAUGCAGUUUCAACACUGGUAUUUGUUCUUUGCUUUCUCUAUCUUCUAUUUCUCUCCCAGAAGUAAACUCAAGGAGAAACUGCUUUAAGAAUUUCACCAAGUAAUAGAGUCACACCCCCCCCUCUUUGUUAAGACAUAAAAUGUCUAAGUGCCCAAGAAAGGAUUAAGAGUUUAUUAGAUGAUUCAAAUGACAGAUACUCAUGUUGUUUUGUCUUUUGUUUCUAUUGUUUCUUCAUGGAUAAUUAAUGCACUAAUUACAUUUUUAUGAAAAUGCCAAAAUGAAAGAUUUCUUAUUAUACUCUGGCAAUUUUUAAAAAAUAAUCCUAAAAUAGUACAAAGAGUAUCUUAAAGGAGAACUACUUAAUAUGAAUGGGGCGGUGGCUGUUUCCUUGAGGAAGGAAAUUUCAGUUUGCAGUACCGAAAUUUUCUUUAAGAUAGCAAAAAAGCAUUGUCCUUUUAACAAAUGAUUUAGAAAUUUGGGGGCAAGUGUUCUCAUGGGAUCUUAAAAAAAAAAAACCUGAAAAGAUACAUACUUGUAAGUUAUUAGUUGUCUAAUGAGUGCUUUAAGUGUUUGGCUUUGGCUUGAUAAUAUGUAUGUAUUGAAUGAUUUGCCUGCAUAUGUAUACUGUGUGAAUACAAUGCCCAUGGAGACCAGAAGAAGGUGUUGGGUCGGUCCCUGGAGCUAGAGUUCCAGAUGGUUAUGAGCCACCACGCGGAUGCUGGGAACUGAAUCCAGGUCCUUUGCAAGAGGAAUGAGUGCUCUUGACUAUUUGAGCCAUCUCUGCAGCUCUGAAUCGAUUUUCCUGACUGUUAAAAAAAUCAGCAAUAUUAGGUGGUCAGUUGUUCUGUGAAUCAUCUAGAGCAGCAAUAAUAAGCAAUAUUAUUUUUACAGCCCAAGACUUCUCAUAUUUCUCAGCCUGAUUU
rnacentral:lncRNA from 1 species